rnacentral:rRNA from 1 species
UACGGAGGGUGCGAGCGUUAAUCGGAAUUACUGGGCGUAAAGCGCACGUAGGCGGUCAGGCAAGUCGGGUGUGAAAGCCCUGGGCUCAACCUGGGGAUUGCAUUCGAAACUAUCUGACUCGAGUAUGGGAGAGGGAAGCGGAAUUUCCGGUGUAGCGGUGAAAUGCGUAGAUAUCGGAAGGAACACCAGUGGCGAAGGCGGCUUCCUGGACUAAUACUGACGCUGAGGUGCGAAAGCGUGGGGAGCAAACAGG